UACGAAGGGGGCUAGCGUUGCUCGGAAUCACUGGGCGUAAAGCACACGUAGGCGGAUUGUUAAGUCAGGGGUGAAAUCCUGGAGCUCAACUCCAGAACUGCCUUUGAUACUGGCGAGCUUGAGUCCGGGAGAGGUGAGUGGAACUGCGAGUGUAGAGGUGAAAUUCGUAGAUAUUCGCAAGAACACCAGUGGCGAAGGCGGCUCACUGGCCCGGUACUGACGCUGAGGUGCGAAAGCGUGGGGAGCAAACAGG
rnacentral:rRNA from 1 species